GACGAACGCUGGCGGCGUGCUUAACACAUGCAAGUCGAACGGAAAGGCCCUGCUUGCAGGGUACUCGAGUGGCGAACGGGUGAGUAACACGUGGGUGAUCUGCCCUGCACUUCGGGAUAAGCCUGGGAAACUGGGUCUAAUACCGGAUAGGAGCCAGUUUUAGUGUGAUGGUUGGAAAGUUUUUUCGGUGUAGGAUGAGCUCGCGGCCUAUCAGCUUGUUGGUGGGGUAAUGGCCUACCAAGGCGGCGACGGGUAGCCGGCCUGAGAGGGUGGACGGCCACAUUGGGACUGAGAUACGGCCCAGACUCCUACGGGAGGCAGCAGUGGGGAAUAUUGCACAAUGGGCGCAAGCCUGAUGCAGCGACGCCGCGUGGGGGAUGACGGCCUUCGGGUUGUAAACUCCUUUCGCUAGGGACGAAGCUUUUUGUGACGGUACCUAGAUAAGAAGCACCGGCUAACUACGUG
rnacentral:rRNA from 1 species